GGGGAUGAUUCGGCCCUUUCAUGUUUGAACACAAAUAAGCGAAAUACAUUAAUUUCAUUGCAUAAAUAAUGCAGGACAUGUCAACUGACUGUUUAAUCGAUACACAAAUGUUGCUUCCUUGCGUAUGCUUUCGUAGAAAUGAGGUAAAUGUCCUAGUGUCUAAGCAAGACGCAUUCUUAACCUUGGCUUUAGGUAGAGGUGAAUGGUCAGGGUCACGUUCCUCUCGGUUUAUCUUCGGAGAAAACGCCCACGAUUGGCAUUGGACAGGAGGCGGACGUGUGGGAAAGACAACACGUUGUUAUUCAACGACGUUAAUAAGAUUUUUAUUGCAGUGUUGAUGUUAUCACAUGAAGUUUUUAUUGUAAUUGAGACGCGAUGUGAUUUAUUUGACGUAAGGGCUUAAUUGUUAUUAUCUUACAUGACCGGCGGCUUCAAGAGGUUAAGCUCAGUGUCUUGUCAUUACCGCGAUUUCAACUAUCUCCAGGAGAGUCCAUGUAAAUGAGCGCCAACGUUUCGGACGUGGUUUGACUGACCUCUCAACGCUUGAGCCGAGACGCCAGACUCCACGUGAACAGCGAACAUAUUCACUUCUUGCCUCGUGUAACCUUGAUUCUGGAGGUUGUUCCAUGAGAGCGCAGUACAAAAUAACGUGGGCAUCACGACAGUAACAAACCGGAUUGAAGCUCAGGACGUUCAUUUGUUUUAUGCCUCCAUGAUCCACGUACCAAAGUGUAAAGUGUGACACGACAUUUAACAAACGGCAACUUUCAUAAUUUAUUUCACAUAAGACUUAUCAGCUAACCGGUUUCUCAUGGCUGUCCCUGGGCGAAUGGCGGUAAAGCCAUUGUUUUACAUACAGUUUUAAUUAACUUCCUCGAUGGAGCCCUUCAGAGGCUGAUUGUCGUUCUCAAACGGUUAAAACAUCGCCGCCAUUUAUGAAACUAAAAGGCUGAGACGUGUAUGUACCAGUCGCAGAAACUCCCUUUCUGGGAGAUUGUUUUGAUGGCAAUAAAUUAUUUACGCUGUAAAUAAACCGCGUGAUAACGAGAACCAUUGGAGACGGCUAACGUUGGUAUUGACCUACAAGUCAACGUGGCAUUAUAACCAAGACCAGCAUCAAGAUUUUGAACUGCCAUGGGAACCUCAGACCUCAUACAACCUGAAGGAUCAUUACCAUGGCCAAUGGUUUCCAUCCCAAGCUAGAUUCGUCCAGUACACGCCCUCACAUCCUAUCAUUAAGUUCCAUUACAAUUUAUUUGGAUUCUGUAUUGUAGAAUGCCAGUCAACAGCUGUGAAAAUGGUCUUCACCAUUGUUAUAAGACAACAGUGUUUUAACAGACAGGGAUCAUGAUGUCUGGAGACUCCCCUACACCACAUGGUGAGCUCAUUUUUGAGCUCAAAGAAACUGCCGUCAGCCCACCGAUUAAUGUCAAGUGCAUGCAGGAUAAAGCAGUCCAGUUCAGUCCAGACCACAUGGACGAGACAACCAGCGCUGUGACAAUACAUCAAACUCUGGCUGCCAACGACUUAGAGCACUCCUACCAAAUACAGCAUUGUCCUGUAGUUUGGACGACAUCAAACAGACGGAGCCUCGAGAAUGAGGAGGCCAUCGAACACAUCGAAGAGAUCCCUCUGACUACAGAAGUGCACGCCAAAUCUCUAGACAUGACUGGCGAACAAAUUACCUGCGAGACUGAUAAAAUAGAUGGAACCUGGCCAAUGGAAGAUGAAUGCAAACCUGAUGAUGGCUGUGGAAUUCAGUGCUUAUAUUAUACAAUGCAGUGCUGUGAAUGUACGAUAUUAUAAAUUAAAUAGUAGUUCUCGAAGAACUGGUAAAGGUUUGCGAUAUCAAUACAUCAUUUUAUGGCAAAAACUUGUUAAAUUCAAACAAAAUGCAUUUAGACCUAUGUGAUAAAAUGAUUUUCAAAUACAUACGACUGAAUAAUGGACUUAAAAGAAUUAAACAUGUCCCAAGGAAAGAAAAUCAUUUACUUAUGUUUGUGUUAUUAAACUUUUACAUCUGUGCAUGAAGAAGUUGUGUUAUCCAAAUGAAUAUGAGCGCUGACACUGUGAUAGUACGUUACAAUGUGAUUUUACACGUGAAGUGUUGUUUGUGUACAGUUUAUGUUACAGAAACUUUGUUGUGUCUUCUACAAUGGAGUUUUGAGUAUUUCUAUAUUUUAUAUUUUAAACUGACUGAAAGAAGAGUCUUAAGUGGAAAGUGGAAGUUAAAAUAGUUUUGAAAAAUUUGUUUUACCUAGAAUAAGGUUCCUCAUCUUCGGCGUUUCUGAUGUCUGUACAUACCGUAUAACGUGAUUAUUAGUUUCAACAGUAUUGUAUUCAGGAUUACUGAUUUUCUUCUGGUCAAACUGCACAAAGUCAUCUCACCAACAUUCAUACACAGUCCAUUUCAACGGGGCCUUUUGUGCAGUUAGGUUGGUGCCACUGUGUAUUUUCAUUAUGACCAUAAUGGUACCUGAAUCAUUAGAUGUCUUCCUCUGAGGUGAAUAGAUAAUAUGAAAAUGUGUUGAUCAUUUUCAAAAUGAAGGCUCGUGUGAAAAAAUCUUGGACCAAAUCUAUAAUUGAUAAAUAUAUUUAUAUUUAAAGCAAUAUAUUUGUGCCAUACUAGUUGUAUCUUGGAAGCUAGUAAUUUAUGAUCCUCUGGAAAUCAUGCCUACACAUUUCCACAUCCAGCCAGUGGCUGCAUGCAAACCACUGAACCUCGAUGUGUAUACGAUAUAUUUUGCAUCCACAUUUGAGAGAAACUGUGACAAAAAUGAAAGAAAAAUUAAAAUGUUCACAAGUGA